AGGGCCUUAGCUUAAUUAAAGUGUUUGAGUUGCAUUCAGAAGAUGUGAGAUAGAGUCUUGCAGGUCUUA
rnacentral:tRNA from 1 species